CUCCAUUCCUAGAUACAUUUCCCACUAGGCAUUUGUUUGAGGGUGAGUCAGGGCCUAAGAUCAGGCCGAAAGGCGUAGUCGAUGGACAACAGGUGAAUAUUCCUGUACUACCCUUUGUUGGUCCCGAGGGACGGAGGAGGCUAGGUUAGCCGAAAGAUGGUUAUCGGUUCAAGGACGCAAGGUGCCCCUGCUUUUUCAGGGUAAUAAGGGGUAGAGAAAAUGCCUCGAGCCAAAGUUCGAGUACCAGGCGCUACAGCGCUGAAGUAAUCCAUGCCAUACUCCCAGGAAAAGCUCGAACGACCUUCAACAAAUGGGUACCUGUACCCGAAACCGACACAGGUGGGUAGGUAGAGAAUACCUAGGGG
rnacentral:ncRNA from 1 species